ensembl:misc_RNA 7SK 7SK RNA
AGGUAUGAGGGUGAUCUGGCUUUGACACCUGUCACCCCAUUGAUUGUCAGGGUUGAUUUGGUUGAUCUGGUUGGCUAGGCAGGUGUCCUCUUCCUCUCUCACUGGUCAGUGUGUAUCCCACCCCAAGCUGCACAAAGAGGAAGACUGUCCCUGAAUAGAGAUGCACUGGUCAUCAGUCAAGGGUAUACAAGUAGCUGUGCUUCCCUGCUAAAAUCUCCAAACAAGCUCUCAAGAUAAACUGCCAAACAUCAUUCCUGUCUUGGGGGUAAGGGAGGUGACAUUAACAUUUAAAUCAGUAGUCUAAGCUUAGGAGAUAGACUUCACUA